rnacentral:rRNA from 1 species
UACGAAGGGGGCUAGCGUUGUUCGGAAUUACUGGGCGUAAAGGGCGCGUAGGCGGCUCUUCAAGUUAGGCGUGAAAGCCCCGGGCUCAACCUGGGAAUUGCGCUUGAUACUGUUGGGCUUGAGUUCGGGAGAGGAGAGUGGAAUUCCCAGUGUAGAGGUGGAAAUUCGUAGAUAUUGGGAAGAACACCAGUGGCGAAGGCGGCUCUCUGGACCGAUACUGACGCUGAGGCGCGAAAGCGUGGGGAGCAAACAGGG